UACGAGGGGGGCGAGCGUUGUUCGGAAUUAUUGGGCGUAAAGGGUGCGUAGGCGGUUCCGCAAGUCCUGUGUGAAAUCUUCGGGCUCAACUCGAAGUCUGCACGGGAAACUGCGGGGCUUGAGUGUGGGAGAGGUGAGUGGAAUUCCCGGUGUAGCGGUGAAAUGCGCAGAUAUCAGGAGGAACACCAAUUGCGAAGGCAGCUCGCUGGGACGUUACUGACGCUGAGACGCGAAAGCGUGGGGAGCAAACAGG
rnacentral:rRNA from 1 species